AUGGGCCCAAACCCAAUAUGGGGUGGAACCCUUUAAUAUGGGGCGGAACCCAAUAUGGGGCGGAACCCUUUAAUAUGGGGCGGAACCCUUUAAUAUGGGGCGGAACCCAAUAUGGGGCAGAACCCAAUAUGGGGCCAAACCCAAUAUGGGGCGGAACCGGAGGCGGUUCUGGGUCCGGAUUAAUACGACAAAACCCCAUAGACCCUCUUAAGGGGAACUGAAACCUUUUAUGGGGCGGAACCCAAUAUGGGCCCAAACCCAAUAUGGGGUGGAACCCGAUAUGGGGUGGAACCCUUUAAUAUGGGGCGGAACCCAAUAUGGGGCGGAACCCAAUAUGGGGCGGAACACAAUAUGGGCUGGAACCCUUUUAUAUGGGGCUGAACCCGAUAUGGGGCCGAACCCUUUAAUGUGGGGCGGAAACCAAUAUGGGGCGGAACCCUUUUAUAUGGGGAGGAACCUGAUAUGGGGCCGAACCCAAUAUGGGGUCAAACCCAAUAUGGGGCGGAACCCUUUAAUAUGGGGCUGAACCCAAUAUGGGGCUGAACCCAAUAUGGGGCCAAACCCAAUAUGGGGCCAAACCCAAUAUGGGGCCAAACCCAAUAUGGGGCGGAACCCUUUAAUAUGGGGCGGAACCCUUUAAUAUGGGGCUGAACCCAAUAUGGGGCGGAACCCUUUAAUAUGGGGCGGAACCGGAGGCGGUUCCGGGUUCAUAGGGUUCCCAUAGGGUUCAAUGAGAUAUAGGAUGGUUUAUAGGAUGUUUUAGGGUCGGAUCUGGAUCUUCCAUGGCCCUACAAGAGACUUAUGGCAACUGGUUGGGUCCCCCUCCCAUCCCAGCCAAGAGGUUGGCGAGACAAGCAGCAGGGAUUUACUCGGUCGCAGGUAACGUGGCUCCCAUUGGUCCCUUCAGGUCGGGUGAGUCCUUUAUUUUCUCCUUUUUUGGCCUUUUUUGACCCAUUUUUUCACUUUUUGGCCCUAAAAUGGGAUCUUAGCACCCAUAGAAUCCAAUGGGGAUCGAUUAAAGGUGGAUGGGAUUGGUUGGAUGGGAGAUAUUCAAUCCCUAAAUCCACCAAUGGGAUGACAGCAAUGGAUGGGAUCCACCAAUGGGAUCGUCCCAAUUGAAGGGAUCCACCAAUGGGAUCGCACCAGUGGAAAGGAUCCACCAAUGGGAUUACCCCAAUGGAUGGGAUCCACCAAUGGGAUCCACACAGUGGAAGGGAUCCACCAAUGGGAUCGCACCAAUGGGAG
rnacentral:lncRNA from 1 species